GAUGAACGCUGGCGGCGUGCCUAACACAUGCAAGUCGAGCGAACGCAGGAGGCGCUUUCCUGUCUGAUGUUCGCGGCGGGCAGGUGUGUAAAACGUGUAUAACCCUGCUAUAUGAAUGGGAUAACUUACGGAAACCGGUGCUAAAUACGGCAUAACUUCUGAACCCCAUGGUUCAAAAGUGUCGGACGGUCUUCCAGUCACUUAUCGCUGGAUCCGGGCUGCAUUAGCUAGUAGGUAAGGUAACGGCUUACCCAGGCCACGAUGCAUAGCCGACCUGAGAGGGUGAUCAGCCACACUGGAACUGAGACACGGUCCAGACUCCUACGGGAGGCAGCAGUGGGGAAUCUUCCGCAAAGGGCGAAAGCCUGAUGGAGCAACGCCGCGUGUGUGAUGAAGGUCUUCGGAUCGUAAAACUCUGUUAGCAGGGAAGAAGAGAUGUAUGAGAAAAUGUGCGCAUAUUGACGUUACCUGAACAAGAAGCCCCGGCUAACUACGUG
rnacentral:rRNA from 1 species